GAUGAACGCUGGCGGCGUGCUUAACACAUGCAAGUCGAACGAAGCAUUUGCGACAGAUUUUUUCGGAAUGAAGUUGCUUAUGACUGAGUGGCGGACGGGUGAGUAACGCGUGGGUAACCUGCCUUGUACUGGGGGAUAGCAGCUGGAAACGGCUGGUAAUACCGCAUAAGCGCACAAUGUUGCAUGAAAUGGUGUGAAAAACUACGGUGGUAUAAGAUGGACCCGCGUCUGAUUAGCUAGUUGGUGAGAUAACAGCCCACCAAGGCGACGAUCAGUAGCCGACCUGAGAGAGUGACCGGCCACAUUGGGACUGAGACACCGCCCAGACUCCUACGAGAAGCUGCAGUGGUGAAUAUUGCACAAUUGAGGAAACUCUGAUGCAGCGACGCCGCGUGAGUGAAGAAGUUAUUCGUUAUGUAAGUCUCUAUCAGCAGGGAAGAUUGUGACGGUACCUGGCGAAGAAGCUCCGGCUAAUUACGUG
rnacentral:rRNA from 1 species